UGCAAAUGAUGUUUUUUCUCACGAUGGUCUUCCAAGUCUCUCAGGCUCUGACGACACUGCCUUACGGCAUCACUGAUGCAGCAGA
ensembl:snoRNA